rnacentral:lncRNA from 1 species
GUGGAAGCUCCAUGUUAGCUGUGGGUUGCGGGCCAGGGGGGGAUAGGGAGGGGCAGCCUGGGCAGGUCGUGUGUGCAGGUGGGGGGUGGGGGGUGCGGGGGGCUGGGCAUGUGUAGGCAUCUGUGGCAGACAGCCAGGCCAGGGGAUAAUUCAGGUGGAAAAAUGGGUACUUACUUGCUGCGGUUGUAGUUGUUGGGUGCCACCAAGCUAGAAAGAAAAGAAAGUGAUUUUAGGAUACUGUUGGGUAAAACAUUUUUAAUUCUAUGACCAUCACGUGGAUGGAGAAAGCAAAUCCUUUGCCUUACUGCAGGACUUCUCAGAGCCUUGACCAUCCUAAUUUACACAGUGACUGGUCAAACGGGCGGGGAGUACAGAGUACUUCCCAAUGUAGUGCACACCGGAUAUUUGUGUUGUAGGGGCAGCUCCACGCGUAGGUCUCAUGCCCUGACCAGGCCUUGUCGUCCAGGACAAUCGGCCCUGAGCCCUGACCAAACUGGGCACUUCCUGGGGCCAAUUCGGCCCGGCCACAGCCCAGCUGCCUGCAGACCCCGCUGGCGUCAUUGGUGUCCCAGCUGUCGUCACACACGUGCCCCACGAGCCUUAGUACAGCACUUCCACAUGGCCCUGACACCUGUCGCCUCCAUUCACCAGCCUCAGGAGCCUUGGUACAGGAUCUCCACUCGGCCCUGACACCUGUCACCUCCAUUCACCAGCCUCAGGGCCAAAUCCCAUUCGGUCCCUAGGGGGCAGCACAAGAACACAGCCUCAUGUCUCCUGAGGUCACAGGCCUCAGGCAGGCUCAGACUUAGGGGACUCCCUGUUGGCCACAUUUCCCUGGGCAGGGAGUCAUCCUUUUCAAGAUGUAUUUAUUUAUUUGUUGGGUUUCCAGGGCCACACCCACAGCAUAGGGAGGUUCCCAGGUUAGGGCUUGAAUUGGAGCUACAGCUGCUGACCUACACCACAGCCACAGCAAUGCAGGAUCUGAGCCGCACCUGUGACCUACACCACAGCUCACGGCAACGCCAGAUCCUUAACCCACUGAGCAAGGCCAGGGAUUGAACCCACAUCCUCAUGCAUACUAGGCAGGUCUGUUCCCACUGAGCCAUGACACGAUCUCCCAGGAAUUCACCUUUGUACAUGCCCAGGAGUUCAUUUUCCCCACAGGGAAAAGAAGAGAGAUUCCUCUUCGGCCCAAGUUAGGCUGCUCAAAUGAGAUGCAGACACAGCCCGUCACCCCAAAAGGAGGUGAGCAGGAGGCAACCCCGGCCUCCCCAGGACACAUCCAGGCUGGGGCGCCAUAGCUGCAGGUGAAGGCCAAGCCCAACCCCUGUUUGGCAGCUUGGGAACUCCUGGUGGCUCUCGCUGGGUUUCGGCUGAGCCCCUGGAGAUGACGGGACGGGGCAGACAGGACAGUUCAGGUAUUUCCACCCCCUCCCCAGGACAGCCGUCCACUGCCUGAGAGACCCAGGAGCUCCCGGCAGGAUUGAGAGGACUCCAGGGAGCUCCCGUUGUGGCACAGUGGAAACAGAUCCAACUAGUAGGCACGAGGAUGAGGGUUGAUCCCUGG